GUGCCUAAUACAUGCAAGUCGAGCGAACUUGCGGGAGCUUGCUCCCAAAAGUUAGCGGCGGACGGGUGAGUAACACGUGGGCAACCUGCCUGUAAGACUGGGAUAACUUCGGGAAACCGGAGCUAAUACCGGAUAACCCUUUUCCUCACAUGUGGAAAAGUUGAAAGAUGGCUUCGGCUAUCACUUACAGAUGGGCCCGCGGCGCAUUAGCUAGUUGGUGAGGUAACGGCUCACCAAGGCGACGAUGCGUAGCCGACCUGAGAGGGUGAUCGGCCACACUGGGACUGAGACACGGCCCAGACUCCUACGGGAGGCAGCAGUAGGGAAUCUUCCGCAAUGGACGAAAGUCUGACGGAGCAACGCCGCGUGAGUGAUGAAGGUUUUCGGAUCGUAAAACUCUGUUGUUAGGGAAGAACAAGUACCGUUCGAAUAGGGCGGUACCUUGACGGUACCUAACCAGAAAGCCACGGCUAACUACGUGCCAGCAGCCGCGGUAAUACGUAGGUGGCAAGCGUUGUCCGGAAUUAUUGGGCGUAAAGCGCGCGCAGGCGGUCUUUUAAGUCUGAUGUGAAAGCCCCCGGCUCAACCGGGGAGGGUCAUUGGAAACUGGGAGACUUGAGUGCAGAAGAGGAGAGUGGAAUUCCACGUGUAGCGGUGAAAUGCGUAGAGAUGUGGAGGAACACCAGUGGCGAAGGCGACUCUCUGGUCUGUAACUGACGCUGAGGCGCGAAAGCGUGGGGAGCGAACAGGAUUAGAUACCCUGGUAGUCCACGCCGUAAACGAUGAGUGCUAAGUGUUAGAGGGUUUCCGCCCUUUAGUGCUGCAGCAAACGCAUUAAGCACUCCGCCUGGGGAGUACGGCCGCAAGGCUGAAACUCAAAGGAAUUGACGGGGGCCCGCACAAGCGGUGGAGCAUGUGGUUUAAUUCGAAGCAACGCGAAGAACCUUACCAGGUCUUGACAUCCUCUGACAAUCCUAGAGAUAGGACGUUCCCCUUUUAGGGGACAGAGUGACAGGUGGUGCAUGGUUGUCGUCAGCUCGUGUCGUGAGAUGUUGGAUAA
rnacentral:rRNA from 1 species